GGAUCAAUAUAUCGGUCGUGCCUUGGUACGUACUGGUAUCAUUGGUUUCUCCUUUCUGACGAACCAUGAUGUCAUUAAUUUGGUGUUAUGGGAAGUUAGGACUGUUACUUUGGUAAAAAAAAUUAGAGUGUUUAAAGCAGGCUUUGGCUUGAAUACAUUAGCAUGGAAUAAUGAAAUAGGACGUUCGAACCUAUUUUGUUGGUUUCUAGGAUCAACGUAAUG
rnacentral:rRNA from 1 species